AUUGCUUCUUGGCCUUUUGGCUAAGAUCAAGUGUAGAAAAGAUUUUGUAUUUACAAUUUUCAUAUCCACUCAUU
rnacentral:snRNA from 1 species